rnacentral:rRNA from 1 species
AUAUAAUUUGUUAUUAUUUUUUUUUGUUAUUUUUUUUUAUUUAAGGAAUAAUUUAAUUUUAUUAUUUGUUAAGAAAAAAUUUUUUUUAUUAUAGUUGAAUAGUACUGUGAAGGAAUCAAUUUAAUUUUAUAGAAGAAAAUUAGUUUUGUACCUUGUGUAUCAGGGUUGAUCAAAAUUUAUUAAAAAUUUAAUUUUCUCGAAUUUAGAAGGGCUAUCUUAUUAUUUUUUUAUUGUUGAAUAAAUAUUGAAAAUUUUAAGAUUGCAAUGAAAUGUUAUUCGUUUCUAAUUAUAUCUGGUUAUUUAAGAAAAAAAUUUAAUUUUUUUGUUAAUAAUAAAAUAUUUUUGUUGGGAAUUUUUUUGUUUUAGCAUGAAAUAUCUUAUGGGAUGAGCUUUAAGAUAAAUUUUUAUAAGAUUGAUUUUUAUUCUUGUAUUAUAGGAUUAGAAGUUUUUAUUUUUAGAAUGAUGUUAUAAUUUUUCUGGAUUUGGUUUUGAUUUUUAUUUCUUUAAAUUAUUUAUUAAAUAAAAAUUUUGAAUUUUAAAUAUUUUUUUAUUAUGAUUAAAUUAGUAUAGGAUGUUUAUAAAUUGUUAGGUUAAGAAAAGGAAUUCGGCAAUUUUAUUUUUCACCUGUUUAUUAAAAACAUGGCCUUUUGAGAAGAAUUUUAGGUCUGGCCUGCCCACUGAUUUUUAAAGGGCCGCGGUAUUUUGACCGUGCAAAGGUAGCAUAAUCAUUAGUUUUUUAAUUGAAAGCUGGAAUGAAGGGUCGGAUGAGGGAAUAGCUGUCUCUUUUUAAAUUUUUUAAAAUUUUAUUUUUGAGUUAAAAUGCUUAAAUGUUAUUUAAAGACGAGAAGACCCUAUAGAGUUUUAUUUUUUAAUUUUUAUUUUAAGCUAGUAAUUUACUGGGGUAAAUUUUAAAAAAUUUAGUUGGGGUGAUUGAAAAAUUUGAUAAACUUUUUUUUAUAAAAAACACUUAUUUGUGAAUUUUUGAUCCAUUAUUUUUGAUUAUAAGAUUAAAUUACCUUAGGGAUAACAGCGUUAUUUUUCUUGAGAGUUCUAAUCGAAAGAGAAGUUUGCGACCUCGAUGUUGGAUUAAAAUAAAAUUUUGGUGUAGAAGCUGAAAGGUUAGGUCUGUUCGACCUUUAAAAUUUUACAUGAUCUGAGUUUAAACCGGUGUGAGCCAGGUUGGUUUCUAUCUUGAAUUUACAUAAUGUUUCAGUACGAGAGGACCAAGCAUUGAAUAAAUUAUUUAUUUUUGAAUAUAAAU